UGAUAUACCCUUAAGUAGUGACAACGUUUAUCGAUGUUACAGCAACUAUCGAUUGCACCAUUGAUUGUUUGUCAAUUCUAACUGCAAUUUUUUAUUGCAAGUUUUGGUUUGGUGUUUGGAGGAAGGAAUCUACUCUUUCACUUGGGGCCGUGAGAAAGGAAGUAACCAGACAACGAAAAAAUAUUAAAAAUAAAUCCAAUUAAAGAGGUUACGAUAAAAAUCAAUAAUAACGCAAAUCAUACGAUCGUUGGAUACAACUACCAGAGCAAAAAGAGACAAGAAGACGUACACUUGAACGAUGGCUUCGUUAUCCCGUUUUGCCAUUAAUUCGGCACCAGCUCGUUUGUGUUUUGUUAGGACAACCACUUCAGGUGCAUAUUCCAACAACAACAGCAGCAGCAGCAACAACAAUACUGCUACGGCCAACAACACUAGAAUGCAUAAUUCUAUGACAACAUUUAAGACACAAGGUUUUGCCACGAAUGCCGCUAUAGGUAAACAAAAAUCAUGCCACCAAUUUGCGAGAUGAGUUUGCCAUUUCCUUUCCUUUGAAACCCCCAAUUUUCGCUGUUGAAAUCCAUGUUUAUCUUGUAAAUGAUAUGUGUAGACUGUUUGAUUCCAAAAUAACCCUUUCCUUUUUCCGUU
rnacentral:sRNA from 1 species